rnacentral:rRNA from 1 species
CCUACGGGAGGCUGCAGUGAGGAAUAUUGGUCAAUGGACGAGAGUCUGAACCAGCCAAGUAGCGUGAAGGAUGACUGCCCUAUGGGUUGUAAACUUCUUUUAUAUGGGAAUAAAAUGUUCCACGUGUGGGAUUUUGUAUGUACCAUAUGAAUAAGGAUCGGCUAACUCCGUGCCAGCAGCCGCGGUAAUACGGAGGAUCCGAGCGUUAUCCGGAUUUAUUGGGUGUAAAGGGAGCGUAGGUGGAUUGUUAAGUCAGUUGUGAAAGUUUGCGGCUAAACCGUAAAAUUGCAGUUGAAACUGGCAGUCUUGAGUACAGUAGAGGUGGGCGGAAUUCGUGGUGUAGCGGUGAAAUGCUUAGAUAUCACGAAGAACUCCGAUUGCGAAGGCAGUUCACUGGACUGCAACUGACACUGAGGCUCGAAAGUGUGGGUAUCAAACAGGAUUAGAUACCCCAGUAGUC